UUAGAUUGCAGGUAAGAAUAUUUAUGCUGUAUAUCUGUGAUAACUGAAUGAAAGUUUAAGCGUUAUGUAAGAACGCCAGCCACAGAGCCACUAUUAUAGUGGUGUUUUUUUAU
rnacentral:sRNA from 12 species